rnacentral:misc_RNA from 1 species
UGGCGAAAUUGGAACUGUGAGU